GUGUUGUCCAUCCAAACAAUGGAGUUCUUAUAAAAUGGUUGUAGCUUGACCAAUACAGGCCUCUUGGAGCCUCUCCUUUAUAAUUCUGAUGAAAAAGACUGUUGAAGAGUCCUAAUUAUUUAAUUAGAGUUUAUAAUCCAAUAUUUAAAACAGGUCAAUAGUUUCAAUUUAAUCCUUGUAUAAUAAAAACACUUUCUUCAAUAAACACGUUACUUCCCCC
rnacentral:lncRNA from 1 species